UUUGGGCAGAUGAAUGCAAAAUUGAAGAUGUUCUUGUCUGAUUGUAGCCUCGUCGCUGUCGGUGAAGAAAUUUCCUCUAUUACGAACGAGAUUCCGCUGGAGCAGGAAUCUGUGGUUUUGGCUGAAGAUACUGUUAAUGGCCUUGUUCUUGUUGAUAUCAUCAAUGGCUUCUGCACUGUUGGCGCUGGAAAUUUGGCACCAAGAGAACCAAACAGGCAGAUCUCUGAAAUGGUAGAGGAAUCAGCAAGGAUUGCAAGGAUUUUCUGUGAGAAGAAAUGGCCUGUAAUGGCAUUUCUUGAUUCUCACCAACCAAACAAGCCUGAGGAACCAUAUCCUCCUCACUGUAUUGCUGGUUCUGAUGAAUCCAACUUGGUUCCAGCACUGCGAUGGGUGGAGAAGGAACCGAACGUGACGAUCAGGCGAAAGGACUGCUUCGACGGCUACAUUGGCUCCUUCCAGCCUGACGGCUCCAACGUCUUUGUGGAUUGGAUCAAACACAAUCAAAUCAAAUCGGUAUGAAUCUUCUUCCACUUUUCAUUUCUUUUCAAUGUCUUUGUGGAUUGGAUCAAACACAACCAAAUCGAAUCUGUAUGAAUCUUCUUCCACUUUUCAUUUCUUUUCAAUAAACACGAUAUGAUCCAGCAAGAGCUGUUGAUUUGGAACUCAAACCUUUUCUUUUCUGUGGAUUAAGCUUUUCGUGGUCGGAAUUUGUACGGACAUUUGCGUAUUGGAUUUCGUGUGCUCCACUAUGUCCGCGAAGAAUCUAGGGCUUCUCAGUCCGUUAAACGACGUCGUUUUGUACUCUCAGGCCUGUGCUACCUUUGAUGUUCCUCUCCAUGUUGCUACAAACACCAAAGGAGCUCUUCCUCAUCCUCAGGAGUUCAUGCACCAUGUCGGCUUGUACAUGGCGAAGGAAAGAGGUGCUGUUAUAGCCAACAAAAUAUCACUAAUAUAAACCACCAAAUAAGCCAACGUACCCACCUUACUUAAAGUAGUUAAUCUUCAAAUCGAAUAAAUAAAUGGGAAGAUGAUCUUACCAAAUAGAGAGUUUUUAAACUCGUGAUGAAUACUUUAAAUUAAUCGAACUAAAGGAAGAGAUAGUAAUGUUCUUGGUAACUGUCGUGUAAAUUCUACAAUAAAUUGUGGUGUUACCUCAUGUUCUUUUUU